CUCCCUGUUCCUGAGUAUGAAUGCUUUCAAAGAACUAUAAGGGAAGGAAGAUUUGCAUUUUUGUGCCAGUAUCCUGAUGAAAAGGGUUUGUAGAUUUAAGGUGAGGAGAAGAUGAAGUUUAAAACAACUCUGUAGUCUGGGUCACACAGGAAAGGUGAUGCUGAAAGAAGAGAUUAACUCUAUCCCAGAUGAAACCAGGACAUUCCUCUAAAGCACAUUGCAGCUGGGGAAGCAACACCACCAAUACCAAGGAAACAUCAGUUGUCAGCUGCACAGACUCCUCAAACACCUGAUGUUAAAUGAACAAUUCUGUCCAUUAAACAUCCUUGUGGAAACUGCACCCACAGCUGGCAGAUCUGCUUCAUCACAGGCAACUUUUACCAUGGAGCUGCUUUAAGGACAAGUCACACCUUCAGAAAACCCUCGUGAGUCACAGGAGCUCGGCUGAGCAGUGGGGGUUUCAAUUAAAAACCACAGGAAAGGAAAGGAAUAUGUCAAUAAAACCACAGACUU